AUUAUGUUACUUAAGAUGUCUAGUCAUGUAUUAUUUUACCUAGUUAAGUAUGUAUAUGUUAGUAACUUGAUUAGAAGGAAGGUUAUAUGACAAAUAAAAUAUCUAAGUAAAUAGGAGGACUAAACUUGUUAAAAGGUUGAAAGUUUAAUAAAUAAAAGAAAAAAAUAAAAAACACACACCCGGGUGUGAUGGCGUGGAUCGAUCAGAGCAAAGGGGGAGAAGACAAACCCUAACUUCAUGAAAUUCUCAAGAAUUGAAAGAGAUUAGGAGCCCAAACUAAUGCAUGAACUCGAAACCUCAAUCAUCUAAGCUUGUACAACAAGCGGAACGUGUCAAGGAGAGGUCAAGCAUAGGAGGAUAACGGGUCAAGAUAAGGCAAGAUGACAAAUACACUUAUUGGAGUACUCGAGGUAAGUGAAUUUCGAUUCACUUUUUAGUAGGUUUAAUAGAAUUUAAUACUUAUGUUUACGAAACAUCAUGAAAGAACAUGUAAUAAUCAGAAGUACAAAGCCAAUAAUGCCUCAUUAUUGAAGAAGGUUGUAUUUAAGCCGAAAGUAAAUUGGUGGGUUUAAACGGGUCGAAUUUUAUGUGCAUAUGUUGCGUAAUGAAAUGAAAUUCGUUAUGGUUAAGACCUUGGGUAAGAAUUUUAGUCAUUAUGUAAGGGGAACAUUUCCCGGACCAUUAGGUACAAGUUUUAUAUGAUUCGGUUGUCGGUCAAUGAAUGAACGGAUUGUUUCGUUUUAGUGUAGGAAAUUUUAUAAGUAUAUGUGUAUAGGAAUCCAAAGGCCACGUGGGUUGAAUCGUAGAUUGUCUAUACUAUGUAAAGUUUUGAAUGUGACAUUCCGGCAUAAACCUACAUGUAAAAGAAGCUUGUGUAUAUAUUCGUGAUUAAUUGAUUGUGCGAAGGAAGGAACAUUGGCAUGAAUGAAGGUACGCACAUAUAUAUAUAAGUGUAUAUAUAUAUAUAUAUAUGUAUGUAUGAUAAUAAGUACGUAGGUGUGAAUGUAUGUGUGAAUGAAUGUUCAAUGCUUAAGACAUAUGCAUGAACGUAUCAAAGGGUUCGAGUAUUUAUGGAUACUAAUGAUGUGCGUUGAGUUGGAAUGUAAUGUAGGUAUGGGGUCGUUGGCUUCAUGAAGAAAUGGAGCUGGAUUUGGAUAAGAGUAUUUAAGAAAGCGCUUGGACAAUUCCACGACUACUUUAUAGAAUGCUCUACGAAAUUUUAUUAUAUAGUUUAAUGUUGAAUGGUAUGUUGAUAACUAAUGGUUUGGUUGUACGUGGUGUCCACAGGUAUCGCUUGGGUUUUCUCUACUUUUAUUGAAGUGAAGCGGACUUAGUUCGAGUUGAGAGCAAGGAUUGUACGGGCUAGAAUGGUCACAUAGUGUAACUCAUAUAGGUUUUGAAGUAUUAAUGUUAUAAAACGUUAUAAAUCCGUUUUAAUGAAUAUAUGGCAUUUCGCAUUUGAACUUUCAUGUGUUUGAUAUGUCUAUUAAAGAACGAAAUUUUUGGGCUCUUGUUUUCCGCUGCGUCGUAUUUUAAGUUAUUACGCGUUAGUCUUACAGGGAAUUGUUCUUAUUACGAACGGGUCAUGCCCGAAUUUUGUUAAAUAAUAGUAUGAUAAUAUUACAUUUUGGAAUGUGUAAUUUGGGCGUAACAAGUUGGUAUCAGAGCCCUGGUUUGAGAGAAUUAAGUACGAGAGUAUAAGUACUUGAACUCAAACCUGUGUGCUCUUGUGAUAAGGAACCCGUACAAUCCAUGACUCGAUCAAGAUCUAAAGGUAGAAAUGGAACGAAAAUGUGUAAGUAUGUAUUAGAUUAUGUAUUUGAAAGAAACUAAUAGUGUGUUAUGUGCAAGGUAAGCUUAAGAUCUUGAAGAGGAUGAUCCGUGAAUACAGAAUGGGAUGAACGCUAAGGCGGGCAAAGGUGCAAAUAGGCAAAUUAACCCCAGGAACGUGUCAAGGAGAGGUCAAGCAUAGGAGGAUAACGGGUCAAGAUAAGGCAAGAUGACAAAUACACUUAUUGGAGUACUCGAGGUAAGUGAAUUUCGAUUCACUUUUUAGUAGGUUUAAUAGAAUUUAAUACUUAUGUUUACGAAACAUCAUGAAAGAACAUGUAAUAAUCAGAAGUACAAAGCCAAUAAUGCCUCAUUAUUGAAGAAGGUUGUAUUUAAGCCGAAAGUAAAUUGGUGGGUUUAAACGGGUCGAAUUUUAUGUGCAUAUGUUGCGUAAUGAAAUGAAAUUCGUUAUGGUUAAGACCUUGGGUAAGAAUUUUAGUCAUUAUGUAAGGGGAACAUUUCCCGGACCAUUAGGUACAAGUUUUAUAUGAUUCGGUUGUCGGUCAAUGAAUGAACGGAUUGUUUCGUUUUAGUGUAGGAAAUUUUAUAAGUAUAUGUGUAUAGGAAUCCAAAGGCCACGUGGGUUGAAUCGUAGAUUGUCUAUACUAUGUAAAGUUUUGAAUGUGACAUUCCGGCAUAAACCUACAUGUAAAAGAAGCUUGUGUAUAUAUUCGUGAUUAAUUGAUUGUGCGAAGGAAGGAACAUUGGCAUGAAUGAAGGUACGCACAUAUAUAUAUAAGUGUAUAUAUAUAUAUAUAUGUAUGUAUGUAUGAUAAUAAGUACGUAGGUGUGAAUGUAUGUGUGAAUGAAUGUUCAAUGCUUAAGACAUAUGCAUGAACGUAUCAAAGGGUUCGAGUAUUUAUGGAUACUAAUGAUGUGCGUUGAGUUGGAAUGUAAUGUAGGUAUGGGGUCGUUGGCUUCAUGAAGAAAUGGAGCUGGAUUUGGAUAAGAGUAUUUAAGAAAGCGCUUGGACAAUUCCACGACUACUUUAUAGAAUGCUCUACGAAAUUUUAUUAUAUAGUUUAAUGUUGAAUGGUAUGUUGAUAACUAAUGGUUUGGUUGUACGUGGUGUCCACAGGUAUCGCUUGGGUUUUCUCUACUUUUAUUGAAGUGAAGCGGACUUAGUUCGAGUUGAGAGCAAGGAUUGUACGGGCUAGAAUGGUCACAUAGUGUAACUCAUAUAGGUUUUGAAGUAUUAAUGUUAUAAAACGUUAUAAAUCCGUUUUAAUGAAUAUAUGGCAUUUCGCAUUUGAACUUUCAUGUGUUUGAUAUGUCUAUUAAAGAACGAAAUUUUUGGGCUCUUGUUUUCCGCUGCGUCGUAUUUUAAGUUAUUACGCGUUAGUCUUACAGGGAAUUGUUCUUAUUACGAACGGGUCAUGCCCGAAUUUUGUUAAAUAAUAGUAUGAUAAUAUUACAUUUUGGAAUGUGUAAUUUGGGCGUAACAAGUUGGUAUCAGAGCCCUGGUUUGAGAGAAUUAAGUACGAGAGUAUAAGUACUUGAACUCAAACCUGUGUGCUCUUGUGAUAAGGAACCCGUACAAUCCAUGACUCGAUCAAGAUCUAAAGGUAGAAAUGGAACGAAAAUGUGUAAGUAUGUAUUAGAUUAUGUAUUUGAAAGAAACUAAUAGUGUGUUAUGUGCAAGGUAAGCUUAAGAUCUUGAAGAGGAUGAUCCGUGAAUACAGAAUGGGAUGAACGCUAAGGCGGGCAAAGGUGCAAAUAGGCAAAUUAACCCCAGGAACGUGUCAAGGAGAGGUCAAGCAUAGGAGGAUAACGGGUCAAGAUAAGGCAAGAUGACAAAUACACUUAUUGGAGUACUCGAGGUAAGUGAAUUUCGAUUCACUUUUUAGUAGGUUUAAUAGAAUUUAAUACUUAUGUUUACGAAACAUCAUGAAAGAACAUGUAAUAAUCAGAAGUACAAAGCCAAUAAUGCCUCAUUAUUGAAGAAGGUUGUAUUUAAGCCGAAAGUAAAUUGGUGGGUUUAAACGGGUCGAAUUUUAUGUGCAUAUGUUGCGUAAUGAAAUGAAAUUCGUUAUGGUUAAGACCUUGGGUAAGAAUUUUAGUCAUUAUGUAAGGGGAACAUUUCCCGGACCAUUAGGUACAAGUUUUAUAUGAUUCGGUUGUCGGUCAAUGAAUGAACGGAUUGUUUCGUUUUAGUGUAGGAAAUUUUAUAAGUAUAUGUGUAUAGGAAUCCAAAGGCCACGUGGGUUGAAUCGUAGAUUGUCUAUACUAUGUAAAGUUUUGAAUGUGACAUUCCGGCAUAAACCUACAUGUAAAAGAAGCUUGUGUAUAUAUUCGUGAUUAAUUGAUUGUGCGAAGGAAGGAACAUUGGCAUGAAUGAAGGUACGCACAUAUAUAUAUAAGUGUAUAUAUAUAUAUGUAUGUAUGUAUGAUAAUAAGUACGUAGGUGUGAAUGUAUGUGUGAAUGAAUGUUCAAUGCUUAAGACAUAUGCAUGAACGUAUCAAAGGGUUCGAGUAUUUAUGGAUACUAAUGAUGUGCGUUGAGUUGGAAUGUAAUGUAGGUAUGGGGUCGUUGGCUUCAUGAAGAAAUGGAGCUGGAUUUGGAUAAGAGUAUUUAAGAAAGCGCUUGGACAAUUCCACGACUACUUUAUAGAAUGCUCUACGAAAUUUUAUUAUAUAGUUUAAUGUUGAAUGGUAUGUUGAUAACUAAUGGUUUGGUUGUACGUGGUGUCCACAGGUAUCGCUUGGGUUUUCUCUACUUUUAUUGAAGUGAAGCGGACUUAGUUCGAGUUGAGAGCAAGGAUUGUACGGGCUAGAAUGGUCACAUAGUGUAACUCAUAUAGGUUUUGAAGUAUUAAUGUUAUAAAACGUUAUAAAUCCGUUUUAAUGAAUAUAUGGCAUUUCGCAUUUGAA